CUAACCUGUAAGGGCGGAAAGAAACAACAUUAUUUAACACCUCAACAUAUCAAUUUCCUGUUUAGUUUGAUGGGCUGACUAUGAUUUACAGGGUUUCAUUAUGAGACUCAAUUAAAUAUAGAAUUUGUAAUAUUCAUGCAGUUCCUAUGCCAAAUAUACACAGUGCUGAUACAGCAGGGAUCUCAAAAUAUCAACCACCUGCUUGGGAGGAACAGAAUUACGAAUGCAUCUCCUUAAACAAUAAUUCAUCAUACUCAAAGCCUAAAGUUAAGCUCCUCCAGAGCCAACACAGCUGCUUUAUCUUAUCGAAGGGGUGCUGCUGACUUACAGUGCCUGUUAUCAUUCUUGUAACUCUUGACUAAGAAUGCAGUCAAGGAUUUGGAGGCCUGGGAAGCAGCGCUGAGUGUGGCAUGAAGGAUCCUGGCUUCUGGAUGGAAACCCAGAACUGUGAACUGCAUGUCCACGCUGCUCAUGCAAUGCACCAGGAAAGGAAAUCAGUCAGGUUAGGGAACUUUAGGGAAAACCUUUGCGUACCUCACUGAGAGCUGCAGGGAAAUUACCCGUCCCUCUCCUCAAGGAUCUUCUUCCUCGAACCCCUCCGCUAAAUAAAAAAGCUUGGAAGACUGAGGCUUCCCUAAGUGAGCUCAGAUGCAGUACCAGCUCACAAGUCCUUUAUCCCUUGGGAGGGAUGCUCUACUCAGAAGAACGAAGCUAAUUUGAAUCCUCAUGACUUGCUUAUAAGAGGGCUUUGAUCUGACAAGAUGUAGAUUUAGGAUUGUUAUUUUUCCAGACAGACUAUUGCUAUACAAGUGAGGCACGCUGGAAGCAGCUGAGCUUGGAGGACCUCCUUACAGUGUGGGGAUAUAUUUUCCUAGCAAAAAUGAGAUUUUUGAAUGUGAGUGGGGUUUGGGGGCUGCAGUAGCACUGCAGUAUGAUAGUGGCUUUAAGUCCAUUUUUGCUGCAAGGAGGCAGAAUCCUGCUGUGCUCCUUUCAGACAGGUGUUAGUCUAAUUGGUCCUUUAGAACUUACAUUUUACAGCUUCCCUUAGCAGCCAGGUUCACUGAUUAAGUAUUCUUCAUUAGGAAGCUUUUCCAGUCUCUAAUUUAAACCUUUACUUCGUGUGGAGCCAGGCACUUUCCUCCCCCCUUUGGUGACCAGGACAGUAUUUCAGAAGUACCUUCUCUGCACACGUUUUGAGAGUUAGGACUCUACUACCUCACCAUUUUGAAGCUCUACGCAUUCUCCACUUCCUUAUUCCUUAUAGAAAUGAAAAAUGUUUUCCUUCUUUCUAAUGCCUGCUGCUCUCCUGGAGUUAGGGUUGCCUCAGCCCUUCCUGUCCUUUUCUCACUGACUCAGCUCGUUUCAGGAUGGCUGCUCUGUGAAGUGGCCAUUGGAAGCUCUCAGCCAGCAGUGGGGCUGUCAUGGUGUUAAUGAAUCUUGCUAAACAAUUUAGACAUCCUGUGAUAAAAACCACCAGAGGAAUUUCAAGCAGCCAGAGUACAAGCAAUUCGAACACUGCAAAUACAAGCUGUUGAGAAAUAUCAAUAUUAUCAGUAGUAUCCUUGCUUUAAGACAUCAGCUAUUUAUCUCUGGCAGGCUUGCCUUAUUGCUCUUUCCAAGACUGUCUGCUGGGAACCCAGUCCUGACCCAGUGCUCUUCCAGCCAUGGGAUGGAUGUGUUGGUACAGCUCAGAAGGACGUGGGCACCUCUGCCAGCUCACAUCUAGACACCACGUUGAGCCAAAUAGCUCAGGAGUGUUUGUAUUAAAGAAAACACACACUUUUGAGAAGGCUGGGACCGCCCUCUUAUCAUGAGGAAAUAAACCUGAGGGCUUUAACAAAUCAGGGCAAGGAAGAGUGUUUUCAUCUGAACUAAUGUUGCCCGAAGCAUAAAAAUAAACGUAGGGCUGUUUUCAGACAUAACAACAGGCUCAGGAUAGUCUGAAAACACAGCAAGAAGACUUAAGAAUUUGAGAUUACAAGCCAGUUUGCUUAUCUCAUCCAAAAACAUCUUAUAAUCAGCAUUUUCAUCUCAUCAACCAUCUCUUCUUACCUUUUGUUCCAAAACAGUGCUGCAGGCUUGGUUCUGGGAUGGCUCUUCAGCAUCAGCAAUGUCUGCCUUCCCCAUUUGACAGAAGCUCCGUUGCAGUGAUGCAGAAAAUUAAUCGGGGCAUUAUAUUUCCUUUGUAUCCAGACCUAAAUACUGUUUCUAUGGCUGCAAACAUAGUAAUUCUUGAAUGAAUGGAACAAAGUCAGACUCCUUCUGCGUGAUUUCUGAAGCUGAUAGCAAAAUCAACCAUGAAGGGGCAUAGACAGAAAAGCUGCUUCAUUCUAACCUUAUUGGGAAAAAGUUCUUUGCACCAAUUAGAGAGAUUACAGUGCUCAGGGUGAUGCAGAGAACUAAGUAAUCAGGCAGAUACGCUACCCGGAUGUCACUUAAUCAGACAAGAGGAAGCAGUGCCCACGGUGAGUGCAGAACGCUCCAUGGGAUGUGCAUCACCUCACGUGUUAAUUUCCUAUUCCUACAUUCACCUCUUCUGCGGCCUUCCCUCCAGCCUCUGCCCAUGAGCAGCUCUGGCAUGCACGAGUCCCUCCUGUGCUGGGUGGAAGGAGCUCUCGGCCCGUGGCCACGUGUGCCCAGGAUGCUGCAGUCGUGCAUGGGCUCACUGGGCUGCAGCACAGUGGUGAAAUAGUGACGCGGCAGGAGGAAGAAUGUGGGUUCUUGUUUUCAGCUUCACUCAUUGCAAAUCUCUGCGGGGCAUGUCAUGGGAGAACUGGCACGUCACUGAAGACACAGAAAGAAAGAAUGCCAGAAAAGAGGUGGAAAUCAGAAAAGCCUAAGCAUCACCUCUGCUCCGAUGUAAGGCUUUAAGAAUAAUAGCUGUGCUAAGGUUUAUAGAAGUCAUUAAAAUCCCUUUGUGAUACUUGAACUCUGCUACUGAAAAAUAGUUGUUUCCACCCAGAGCUAAUAAAUAGAUGUUUGAAGCGCAAGCUGAGCUAAUGUGAAUUCAUGCUCAGCUGUGCGUGUCAUGUUUGGAUGUAAACACCCUUUUCACAUUGUGCCAUACCACCCCAGUGCUGCUGUGCUUUUCAUGUAUCUCUGUGGUAUUUACAUCUCAGCUAUCAUUUGAUAGCUUAAAAUGCCUGUACUAAAAUCCACUGCCUUUCAGUUGGGCUGAAGAUGUCAAAGUACAUCUAUACGUAGUCCAGUUAAAGUUUUAUGAUUGAACUAACUUGCUCUGAAAUUGCAGCAUUUUUCCUAAGAAAAGUUAAAAGGGUUUUUCCUGCCUUGUAUUGUAGGUAAUAUUUGAAGAAAGAAAGAAGGAAAAAAAUGCCAGACCCAAACUUUGCUCACCUGGGGAUCCUGUGUGGGAUGUAAUCCAGCCCUGCAUCGGGACACACCUUCUGCGCUGCAACCAGCACCAGCUCUGAAGAGCAACUCGAGCAGCCUCAGAGGAGAUGACACACAUUGGGCUUCCAUCUCUGCACCCAUGCAGACGUGUCGCCAUCGUUGCUGUGCAGCCAGCAGGGACAGGACGUGGUGUGGCCGACAGCCUUAGGGAUGAGGAUAUCCAAUUCGGAGUUACCUGUGAUCUGCUGGUAAGCAAACACAGGACCUUAUGAGAUGUUGGUCGUGACGUGCUAUCAUUGAAACCUCUGCAAGAAGCUGAUGCUUCAGGAAUCCUAAGCAUCACCAGUCGAAACAAAUUUUGAACUUGCAAGCUGGGAAGGGAGAAAGCAGUUUCCUUUUGAUCUUACUCCAGGCUGGAAAAGUGAGAAACACCUGCUUCCUGCAGAGGACCUGCUAAGGAACUCCAAAGGAAACUAUGCAUAUAGGGGAAGCACAUGCCAAGUGAAACAGAACCGAGUGGGUCAUCGUUAUGCUGGUCCAGGUUCCAGCGAGCACUCCAUGGGUACAAUGCUAAGUUAAGAGUCUCUGUUGUUGGGGCCACAGAGUGUGAGGAAAGUUCCAAACACUGCAGUCCACUGGACUCUUGGGGUUUUACUGAACAGAGGGGAUAAGUGGUCUCCUCCCAGGGUCAGAUCACAUCAGGAGCCAAGGGGAAGUGAAGGGAGAAAGGGGACCUUCUAUUUCUCCAAAUACAUUCCAAUUGCACAACUGAUUGAUUAAAAAUAUACUCUAAAAUGGAGGGUAAUGCUGAAGAGAUAUUAACGGCUAGGAAAUGAACAAACUGACGGUUUGUGUCACAUAGGUGAUAGUUCCUGUUUCUUACUGAAUGUUUUGAAUAAAUCACAGGCGGAGAGAAAGGAUGCUGGACCAUUUUAAUUCAAAAGAGGAAAGACACAGACAGUACUAUUGUCAGAGCCUUCAUUCAAGUUCAUUGAAGGAGCUGGAAGCAUCACCAAAGGACUUCAAGGAUUACCUGCCUCACUCCUCACCAGCUCCUCACCAGUUGCUGUGAAGAAAAUCUACAUUCUCAAAUGGUUACUUGUCUGCUAUC